rnacentral:rRNA from 1 species
CCUCCCGCCACCGCUCGAGAGUUUGAUCCUGGCUCAGGACGAAACGCUGGCGUCGUGCUUAACACAUGCAAGUCGAACGAUGAACCACUUCGGUGGGGAUUAGUGGCGAACGGGUGAGUAACACGUGGGCAAUCUGCCCUGCACUCUGGGACAAGCCCUGGAAACGGGGUCUAAUACCGGAUACUGAUCCGCCUGGGCAUCCAGGCGGUUCGAAAGCUCCGGCGGUGCAGGAUGAGCCCGCGGCCUAUCAGCUUGUUGGUGAGGUAACGGCUCACCAAGGCGACGACGGGUAGCCGGCCUGAGAGGGCGACCGGCCACACUGGGACUGAGACACGGCCCAGACUCCUACGGGAGGCAGCAGUGGGGAAUAUUGCACAAUGGGCGCAAGCCUGAUGCAGCGACGCCGCGUGAGGGAUGACGGCCUUCGGGUUGUAAACCUCUUUCAGCAGGGAAGAAGCGCAAGUGACGGUACCUGCAGAAGAAGCGCCGGCUAACUACGUGCCAGCAGCCGCGGUAAUACGUAGGGCGCGAGCGUUGUCCGGAAUUAUUGGGCGUAAAGAGCUCGUAGGCGGCUUGUCGCGUCGGUUGUGAAAGCCCGGGGCUUAACCCCGGGUCUGCAGUCGAUACGGGCAGGCUAGAGUUCGGUAGGGGAGAUCGGAAUUCCUGGUGUAGCGGUGAAAUGCGCAGAUAUCAGGAGGAACACCGGUGGCGAAGGCGGAUCUCUGGGCCGAUACUGACGCUGAGGAGCGAAAGCGUGGGGAGCGAACAGGAUUAGAUACCCUGGUAGUCCACGCCGUAAACGGUGGGCACUAGGUGUGGGCGACAUUCCACGUCGUCCGUGCCGCAGCUAACGCAUUAAGUGCUCCGCCUGGGGAGUACSGCACGCAAGGCUAAAACUCAAAGGAAUUGACCGGGGCCCGCACAAGCGGCGGAGCAUGUGGCC